CUUAUAUGUAAAGAUCUUGAUUCCAUAAGAUAAACUGUUAGAACUAAUAAAUGAAUUCCUCAAGGUAGCAGGAUACAAAAGUCAACAUGCGAAAAUCAGUUACAUGUUCACACACCAACAAUAAACCAUUUGAAAAGAAAAUUACAAACGGCAUCAAACAGAAUAAAAUACUCAAUUAACCAAGGAGAUGAAAUGAAAGAUUUGUACAAUAAAACUAUAAAAUAAUGCAGAAAGAAAUUAAAUGAAUGAUGUUAAGGAAAACACUUCUCAUAUUCAUGGAUUGGAAGAGUUGACAUCCAUAUGGAAUUGUGGAUUACCAAAAACCCUCUUAAGAUUCCUGUUUAGACUAAUAUUCUGUUCAUGAUGAUACACGUCUAUUUCUAAGAUGAUUGCUAUCAUCUAAAUAUUUCUAUCCACCCAAAAAAUACAUGUUGAAACCUAAUCCCUGGUAUGAUAGUGUUAAGAUGUGAGACUUUGGGGAUAAUUAGGUCACGAAGGCAUGCCCUCUCAUGAAUAAGAUUAGAAGUGGCCUUAGGGAGCAUGUUCUUUCUCUCUGCAAUGUGAAAUCUAAGCAAGAAGGUACCAUUUAGAAAACAUAAAGUGAGACCUGACCAGACAAAAUACUGCAGAGAGAAAUUAAAUGAAAGAUGUUAAGGAAAACACAUCUCAUAUUCAUGGAUUGGAAGAGUUGAUAUCCACAUGGAAUUGUGGAUAUCAAUGACACCUUGAUCACUUCUUGAUAAAUUCAUUCCUUCAUUAAUAACCUAGGUCUUUUCUAACGUGCAACUCAAAACUUUUCCAGCCUCUACCUAUUACACGUUUCCAAAGCCACUGCCACGUUUUGGGGGGUAUUUGUUAUAACAGCAUCCCACUUUGCAGUGCCCAAAUCUGAGUCGGUUUGCUCCGGUGGUGUCUCAUUCUAUUUUGUGCUACCAUAACAGAAUACUGCAGACCCAGCAAUUGAUAAUGGACAGACAUUUAUUGGCUCAUAGCUCUAGA
rnacentral:lncRNA from 1 species